CUGUAAGCUGUCUCUGGAGCGUAAGUAGGUAUAACACAACUGAUCCAGACAAUAUUGUAAACCACGCGAGGGAAACAUGGGCAGCUUGCAAAAUUAUUUCAACUCUCAGGCCACAAACUUAUCAAUCACCCCUGCUGUGGACCGCUUCU